CCGGCGGCCGCGGCUACGACGCCCUACGUCGCUGCGGCCCCGCAGUCCUACGGCGCCGCUCACAGCGGGUCGGCCCGGGCACCGAUUGUGCCCUACGGUGCCCCGCCACCGCCGCUGCCCUACGGCGGAUACUAUUCACCUCCGAUGGCCGCGUCCUACCCUGGAGCUGCUGCACCGUCCUUAACGUCGGGCCCUGGUGCAUCUGCUGGAUCAUCCCACAUGGCCUACUACACGUCGCCUCCCGUGGCUGAUCAUACCGCGGCAGUUGCACCGUUCUACUUCGCGCAUCUCAUCCCGGUGAAGCUUACGAUAGACAACUAUCUGUCAUGGCGUGCACAGGUGUUGCCGCUUCUCCGCAGUCGCUACAUGGAGGGCUAUGUUGACGGUUCCCUGCCAUGUCCUCCACCGCAUCACCCGGCGUAUCAUGCAUGGGUAGCUCAGGAUCAGGCCAUCCUCUCCGCGAUCCAGUCAUCGCUCACCGAGGGGGUGUCCUCCUUGGUUCUCUUCGCUGCCACGUCUCAGGAGGCGUGGUCUGCUCUGCACACGAGCUUCGCCUCUCAGCAGCAUGCGCGCGCUCACACUAUUCGUACGGAGCUGGGGGAGACCAAGCUUCUUGACCUCAGCAUCACCGACUAUUUCAACAAGAUGACGCGUCUCGCUGAUACAUUGGCCUCCAUUGGCCAGCCG
rnacentral:rRNA from 1 species